rnacentral:rRNA from 1 species
GACAGAGGUGGCAAGCGUUGCUCGGAUUCACUGGGCUUAAAGGGCGCGUAGGCGGCUUUGUAAGUCCGAGGUGGAAUUCCACAGCUUAACUGUGGAACUGCCUUGGAAACUGCAAGGCUUGAGUCAGGUAGAGGGAGGCGGAAUUCCCGGUGUAGCGGUGAAAUGCGUAGAUAUCGGGAGGAAGGCCGGUGGCGAAGGCGGCCACCUGGGCCAAGACUGACGCUGAGGUGCGAAAGCGUGGGGAGCAAACAGG